rfam:Ruminococcus sp. CAG:9 genomic scaffold, scf138
UUACAAUAAAGGCAAACCUGUUGAAAGGCAGGGACGCAAAGCCAGGGGUCUAAGGUCGUAAGAAGACUAUGAUAGCCGGUUGCCGCA